rnacentral:misc_RNA from 1 species
UGUGCGGGUUGCAUUUCGAUCCUCCGUCGGCCACUCCUCGUGAGGUGUCGGCGGGGCUUUCGGUUUUUAUCCCGUGUUGCGAUGGGACGACGCGUGAGUGGUGAUUAGGAUAUGCGUUUCUCAUGCAGGCUCCGUGCGUCUGGCAUCGAACUGCUUGGGCCUAUCUGUUUCAUUCGUGGUUCGCCUCGGCGUUUUCUCGGUCGGUUGCGACUACUCGUUGGGUUCCUGUGCUUGAAAUCGAAUUCGGUAGUCGGAUGGAUUGAUGUUCCCCGUCAUGGUUUGAUUGAUCCCCCCCCCCUCAUGCGGCGAUGGUGGUUAUUGUGCGGGCAUCGACGUUGUCCUUUCGAGCCGUUUUCCCCCGUUUGGGAGCUUCUGCUCGUGAUGGCACGUAGAUGCUAGCGGCACUCUCGGGUACGGAGAUUUCUUGGCUUGUCGCAUUGGCCUUCGACCAUGCGAACGUAAUGUAUCGAAGCUUUUCUCGCUUCCGAAUGUAUGACCCUCGUGCUCGUCUGAGAUCGCACACGGAGCGUCCUCGUUCGGUGUUCUUCUUGGGGAGAUAUCGAGGUCUACAAAGGAAUGCUACCUGGUUGAU